rnacentral:ribozyme from 1 species
GUCUAUUUUUCCUCACCUUAAUCGCCCUUGUUUAUUAGAGUUUGAGUGCCUUUAUAAUUGUGCAAUCAAACAAUUCGAGGAGCAUUAUAUUAAGCUCGUCAACGUGGAUGUUUUCAGCCGACACGAUACAGUGGAGACAACACGAAAGCACAGCAUAAUCCAGUCAGUAUUGAGGCAACUGUUAUGAAAAAAGAAAAAAAAACAAAACAAAUGCGUUGAUACAUCUCCCAAACAUGGACAUAU